GACGAACGCUGGCGGCGUGCUUAACACAUGCAAGUCGAACGGAAAGGCCCCUUUGGGGGUACUCGAGUGGCGAACGGGUGAGUAACACGUGAGUAACCUGCCCUUGACUUCGGGAUAACUUCAGGAAACUGGGGCUAAUACCGGCUAGGAAUCCUUGCUGCAUGGUGGGGGUUGGAAAGCUUCGGCGGUUUUGGAUGGACUCGCGGCUUAUCAGCUUGUUGGUGGGGUAGUGGCUUACCAAGGCUUUGACGGGUAGCCGGCCUGAGAGGGCGACCGGCCACAUUGGGACUGAGAUACGGCCCAGACGCCUACGGGAGGCAGCAGUGGGGAAUAUUGCACAAUGGGCGGAAGCCUGAUGCAGCAACGCCGCGGGCGGGAUGACGGCCUUCGGGUUGUAAACCGCUUUCAGCAGGGGCGAAGCUUGUGGUGACGGUACCUGCAGAAGAAGCACCGGCUAACUACGUG
rnacentral:rRNA from 1 species